CAACUUUCUUCUUGAAACAUUACAAUUUUAAUCACAAAAUAUUAUGACUAAUCUUGAAAUAUUAUAACUUUAAUAUAAUAAAAUUAUAAUUUUAAGGUGUGACUUUAUUCUCAUGAAAUUAUUUUAUUCUCAAAAUAAUUCGACUUGAAAUAUUAUGACUUUAAAAUAAUAAAAUUGCGAUCUCUUAAAAUUACUUUAUUCUCGAAGUAUUACGACUUCAAUCUCGUUUUGCCCAGAUUUUUAAAAUUGUAAUAUGGCCCUAAUGUGUUAAAUCAAAGUAAUAAAGUGUUCAUCACUACUUAAUACACACUGUGGAAGUAGGAGGGGGCGGUAACACACCAGCCGCCGGAUGCACACUACCAUUAAACACGUAGUAAAAGAAGAAGAAGAAAUUCCCCGCAUCGUGAGCCAUGGCGACUUCUAAGGGCUCUCACUGGUCUGAUAAUGAGAUCGAGUGUUUAAUAAACAUCUGGGCGGAGGACGGCAUCCAACAGCAGCUGGAAAAGACGCACAAAAACUCCGCCGUUUUCCGCAAAUUCCGCGACCAUCUGUCCCGCCGCGGCUACGUGCGUUCUACGGAGCAGUGCCGCAACAAGGUGAAGAAGCUCCGCAUGAACUACAAGAGGGUCCGCGACGCCCCGCGCACCGUUAAGGCCAAGUACCGCUGGUUCGACGCCAUAGACCAGAUCAUCGGCCGCAGGGAGUGUCACACUGUGGUGGUGGGCUCCCCGAUGGACGGACCCUCACCCGACGAAGGCCCCGGAACUCCCCCCUGCAAUGUUUUCAGCAGCCGAAACAAUCCUGACGCUGACACCAAACCGCCAGAGUCACAGGAUGCUCUGCUGUUUUUAAUAAAGACUGAGGACGAUGACACCAAACAUCCCAUUAAAUCAGGCCCAUCAGAUGAGUCUAAUGACGAGCAAGGUGUGGGCGUGGCCAUGUCUGAGGACAACACGUCAGCGUCUGAGGCGGAGGCCACGGCGUCUCCUCAGGGCGUGUCCGCCAGGCCGUCAUCAUCCAGCAGGAGGAGGAGGAGGAAACGCACCAAUGAGACGACGGCGGCGUUCAUGGAGCUGCAGAAACGACACCACGAGGACUUCAUGGAGGCGGAGAAAGAGCGUCAGCGCCAGGAGCUAGACAUGUUCAGUGACUGGAUGAGGGAGCAGAGGGACAUGGAAGAGAGGAGGCAGCAGGAGGCUCACCUCAUGUUCCAGCAGCUGCUCUCCUUCCUGCAGAGGCCUUCACAGGCCACGCCCCCUGAGCAGCCACAGACGGAGAAACACAACUACUGACCGCCUGAGCACAGACUCUUUGUACAUGGAAUAGAUCUAUUUUUAUUUUUACACACUGUGCUGCGUCUGUCUGUGUUUUCUAAAAACAUUCAGAGGAACUCCAACAUUUGGACAUUUCUGACUCAGUUUCUCUCCAUUUUCACUUUAAGGAAAAUCAUUUGAUGUUUAACAAUCUUUAUGUUAAACGACACCUUUUUCAUUUACGGAAGGGUAUGGCAUUCACUUAAAAAAAAAAAAAAAAGAAAUCUGUUUUUUCUGAAUAAUUAAUUUUUUGGGGCUAUUUUUUUCUGUUUUCCAGACAAGUCACCAUAGGAUGGAUGUUCUUGCUGGAUUUCCAAGUAUUUUGACAAUUCUGAGAAAAAAAAUUAGCACAAAAACCAGGAAAAACAAUUAAAUUACUCAGAAAAGAUGGAUUUAUUUAUUUAUUCAAUUGAAUGCAUGAUGCUUCCUUAGUCAUUUCAUCGUUUUGGUUUUAAUAAAUUGUUGAGAAAUGUUGCA
rnacentral:lncRNA from 1 species